rnacentral:rRNA from 1 species
GAUGAACGCUGGCGGCGUACCUAACACAUGCAAGUCGAGCGAUUUACUUCGGAAGAGAGCGGCGGACGGGUGAGUAACGCGUGGGUAACCUGCCCUGUACACACGGAUAACAUACCGAACGGUAUGCUAAUACGGGAUAAUAUGCUUUUAUCGCAUGGUAGAAGUAGCAAAGCUCCAGCGGUACAGGAUGGAACCGCGUCUGAUUAGCUAGUUGGUAAGGUAACGGCUUACCAAGGCGACGAUCAGUAGCCGACCUGAAGAGGGUGAUCGGCAACAUUGGAACUGAGACACGGUCCAAACUCCUACGGGAGGCAGCAGUGGGGAAUAUUGCACAAUGGGCGGAAGCCUGAUGCAGCAACGCCGCGUGAGCGAUGAAGGCCUUCGGGUCGUAAAGCUCUGUCCUCAAGGAAGAUAAUGACGGUACUUGAGGAGGAAGCCCCGGCUAACUACGUGCCAGCAGCCGCGGUAA